rnacentral:lncRNA from 1 species
CCCUAAAGGUUUACUGUGUCUGUGUUCUCUUCAGGGACCUCAGGGAGUCAGUGGGGCCACUGGCCCAGAGGGGCUCCCCGGCCCUGAUGUGAGUGACCCACAGUAACAAUACUACAAACAAAUAAACUGGUACUUACUGGCCAUUGUUUAUCACUAAAGUUGAGUGUGUCAUUAACUUGUGUCCAUGUGUUUGUGACUUUCCAGGGGGAGGCUGGGUUUGAUGGGCCUCCAGGGACUCCUGGGUCAAUGGUGAGUAGACAGGCAACAGGAGUCUGGACUUCCCCUACUAUGUAUUCCAACAUACAGUAAAACACAGUAUUCUAAUGGGUCCCAAUUGCAAAUGUUACUGUAUGUCAGUCACCCUACAUCAUAUCACUCAGUGUGUGUAUUUGUGUUUUGCGCAGGGAGCCGCUGGUUUCACAGGCUCUGUCGGCGCUCAGGGAGUUAACGGCUCAAAGGGAGAGUUGGGCCUUGUUGGAGUUGUUGGCCCCAGAGGCCCGCAGGGGCCCCAGGGUUUAGAUGGUGAGAGUGGGCCUCCAGGUCUCAGGGGAAUUCAGGUCAGUCUCAAUCAGCUGCACAACUUUCCCUAACAGAGACUUGGGACCAGAUGAUUGUCUUUGGAAAUGUAUUUUUCUGAGGGAUAAUAUCUGGGGUUAAAGGUCAUCUGUAUUUUCACAGGGACAGCUUGGGAUGAGUGGUGCCGCUGGUCCGAAAGGUGACCCUGUAAGUCUCUCCUCUCUUCACUGGUAAAGUUCAUUCUGCUCUAGUAAAACAAACUACUAUACCUGUCUCUCUCCAACCCCCUUGCUUCCUUUCUUUCUCUGUCUUCCUCAGGGACCAAUGGGGAUGAUGGGUAUCCGGGGUGAGCUAGGGUUCGAGGGGCCCAUGGUGAGUAGCAUAGUACCCAGUGGACUGACCACCUUCACCACACUUUGCCUGCCAGAGACACACACUCACACAGCAACCUCACAGUGCCCCCAUGUGGCAGAGCUUUGUCACAGUGUUAGGCUACAGAUUAUAAUAUGCUUUGUGUAUCCCAUGUCCUACAUCUUCUAGCUUUUAUGGGUUGUGG